rnacentral:rRNA from 1 species
UGUUAAGUGGAAAAGGAUGUGGCGUUGCCCAGACAACUAGGAUGUUGGCUUAGAAGCAGCCAUCAUUUAAAGAGUGCGUAAUAGCUCACUAGUCGAGUGACACUGCGCCGAAAAUGUACCGGGGCUAAACAUAUUACCGAAGCUGUGGAUUGUCCUUUGGACAAUGGUAGGAGAGCGUUCUAAGGGCGUUGAAGCAUGAUCGUAAGGACAUGUGGAGCGCUUAGAAGUGAGAAUGCCGGUGUGAGUAGCGAAAGACGGGUGAGAAUCCCGUCCACCGAUUGACUAAGGUUUCCAGAGGAAGGCUCGUCCGCUCUGGGUUAGUCGGGUCCUAAGCUGAGGCCGACAGGCGUAGGCGAUGGAUAACAGGUUGAUAUUCCUGUACCACCUAUAAUCGUUUUAAUCGAUGGGGGGACGCAGUAGGAUAGGCGAAGCGUGCGAUUGGAUUGCACGUCUAAGCAGUAAGGCUGAGUAUUAGGCAAAUCCGGUACUCAUUAAGGCUGAGCUGUGAUGGGGAGAAGACAUUGUGUCUUCGAGUCGUUGAUUUCACACUGCCGAGAAAAGCCUCUAGAUAGAAAAUAGGUGCCCGUACCGCAAACCGACACAGGUAGUCAAGAUGAGAAUUCUAAGGUGAGCGAGCGAACUCUCGUUAAGGAACUCGGCAAAAUGACCCCGUAACUUCGGGAGAAGGGGUGCUCUUUAGGGUUAACGCCCAGAAGAGCCGCAGUGAAUAGGCCCAAGCGACUGUUUAUCAAAAACACAGGUCUCUGCUAAACCGUAAGGUGAUGUAUAGGGGCUGACGCCUGCCCGGUGCUGGAAGGUUAAGAGGAGUGGUUAGCUUCUGCGAAGCUACGAAUCGAAGCCCCAGUAAACGGCGGCCGUAACUAUAACGGUCCUAAGGUAGCGAAAUUCCUUGUCGGGUAAGUUCCGACCCGCACGAAAGGCGUAACGAUUUGGGCACUGUCUCAACGAGAGACUCGGUGAAAUCAUAGUACCUGUGAAGAUGCAGGUUACCCGCGACAGGACGGAAAGACCCCGUGGAGCUUUACUGUAGCCUGAUAUUGAAAUUCGGCACAGCUUGUACAGGAUAGGUAGGAGCCUUUGAAACGUGAGCGCUAGCUUACGUGGAGGCGCUGGUGGGAUACUACCCUAGCUGUGUUGGCUUUCUAACCCGCACCACUUAUCGUGGUGGGAGACAGUGUCAGGCGGGCAGUUUGACUGGGGCGGUCGCCUCCUAAAAGGUAACGGAGGCGCUCAAAGGUUCCCUCAGAAUGGUUGGAAAUCAUUCAUAGAGUGUAAAGGCAUAAGGGAGCUUGACUGCGAGACCUACAAGUCGAGCAGGGUCGAAAGACGGACUUAGUGAUCCGGUGGUUCCGCAUGGAAGGGCCAUCGCUCAACGGAUAAAAGCUACCCCGGGGAUAACAGGCUUAUCUCCCCCAAGAGUUCACAUCGACGGGGAGGUUUGGCACCUCGAUGUCGGCUCAUCGCAUCCUGGGGCUGUAGUCGGUCCCAAGGGUUGGGCUGUUCGCCCAUUAAAGCGGUACGCGAGCUGGGUUCAGAACGUCGUGAGACAGUUCGGUCCCUAUCCGUCGUGGGCGUAGGAAAUUUGAGAGGAGCUGUCCUUAGUACGAGAGGACCGGGAUGGACAUACCUCUGGUGUACCAGUUGUCGUGCCAACGGCAUAGCUGGGUAGCUAUGUGUGGACGGGAUAAGUGCUGAAAGCAUCUAAGCAUGAAGCCCCCCUCAAGAUGAGAUUUCCCAACUUCGGUUAUAAGAUCCCUCAAAGAUGAUGAGGUUAAUAGGUUCGAGGUGGAAGCAUGGUGACAUGUGGAGCUGACGAAUACUAA